UACGGGGGAGCAAGCGUUGUUCGGAUUUACUGGGCGUAAAGGGCGCGUAGGCGGCGCAACAAGUCACUUGUGAAAUCUCCGGGCUUAACCCGGAGCGGCCAAGUGAUACUGUCGUGCUAGAGUGCGGGAAGGGGCUACUGGAAUUCUCGGUGUAGCGGUGAAAUGCGUAGAUAUCGAGAGGAACACCUGCGGCGAAGGCGGGUAGCUGGGCCGACACUGACGCUGAGGCGCGAAAGCCAGGGGAGCGAACGGG
rnacentral:rRNA from 1 species